GGAUUGGAAAAUUAGUAAUUGCAAACCAUGGAUGAAAUUUAUAAGAUUGCUUCCACAGAAAGGAUCCAGGUGUUGGAAAAAGAACUGGCUACACAACUGACUGAACUGAAGUCUGAGAUAGAAGAACAAUGGACUCUGCAGGGGUCAGCUUGUCAAACUUACAGCUCUGUUCGAAUGCCAAAGGACAUCUCUUACUUUAGAAGAGAAAGGGAACUGGCCCUAAAGAAAACUUUACAGGUGGCCGAGUCAAAGUCCCUUGUUAUUCAACCAGAUGUCAUGCAGAGGGAGCUAGAGAGCUGCCUAAAGAGAGAAUACACUCCUGAAAAUUUACCUUUGCUUCUGUUGCAGCAUUAUACAGAGAGAAUUACCCAGCUGGCCCAGAGUAAAUAUUUACACAUGCUUAGAUGGAAGAGAUUUUGCCAUCACAGUAAGAUCAUGGAGCAACUUUAUCCUUUUUACAAGAAACAAGUUGUCUACAUUAUGCAGGAAUACAACGACGCUCUUCAGAGAGCUGAUCGAUUGUCUGUUGCCCGAGAAAACUUCCUUAUGGGAAAAAAGAACCCUCCUAACUUAGUGACACAGGAAGACCUGACUAUUUACACAAAUUGGUUAGUGUGUCACCUACACUCACUCAGGAUUAUUCACCACUAUGUGCAGGCCCUCCAGUAUUUACCCAUCUCCAAAGCUCUGAGUGUAGCUGUUGAUGAAGUCCCUGUGGUUGGUCAGGAAAAUGAAAAGGUUCCUGUUGAUGACACUGACCCUGACAUCCAGGGUUCUGCAUCUCCAGACUCUAUGAAUACCAGUGUUUCAGGGCCAAUGAGAACAGAAACUGCUUUCGUUCUGCCCCAACACACAACAGAAACAGAAGAACUGAAACCUCAGCUGAGGCUGCUGCUCUCCCAUUUCCAUAUCUCAUAUGACGUGGAAGAGCUGAGGGACGCUUCUAAGGAGACAGAACUUUUUGCCUUGGUUUCCCAAAAAUUUCAAAGCAUCUUCAUGGAGCAACAGAGAAUGCAAACGUUUCCAGACUAUAAUGCUGGGAUAGCUAAAGUGGAAAAUUUGGACUUGACUGGACCUGGUAGGGCCUUGAAAAAGAGAGCCAACUGGACUUCCUUUAUAAAGAUUAAGCCAAAACAUGAUCCUGGGCAAAAGAAGCUUUUGACCAAGCUAAAAGAACGGAGAAGAAUAGAUCUAUUAAUGCAACUCCAAGCAAAAUUUCUGAAGAUUUCCAAUCCUGAGCGAGUAAUGCAAGUGCUCCAGGAUCAUGCUGCAAAGAUGGUCUUGCUGGCUUCGUCUCAUCCAACAUGUGUGACUUCCCAGGGCAACUAUGACCAAAUCUGGGAGACUAUUUAUAGCAACAUCAACCUCUACCAGAAUGAAAACACUAAGGAAGAUGACCUUUCAGUGCAACGAGAUGAAAAUGACCCAGCACCAAUAAAUCUUAGCCAGUGUGCUAAUAAGCCUGUGGAGCAGAAGAAAGAGACAAGGUACAGUUACGCAGUGGCCCUACAGCUGCUGGGCUUAGAUGACAGGACUGGGCCCAGUGACAGGGAUCCUGUCCCGUUGAGGGGGACCUACUUGUCCUUUCUGUAUCUGCGUCACCUGAGGAUCCGGGAGCUGCAGCGCAUCUGCUUAGGAAUUCUGAACUAUUUUAGAUCCGUUGAGCGAACGCUGACAAUCAACACUUCAGGCCUUACCUUGGUUUCAGGGAGCCUGGUGCCUACCUCAGAAGACAGUUCCUGGGUAAAUAAAGCAAAAGGAGGCAUGGGCACCUCGCAAGGCCUGGGCACUCACCACUAUGCCCACGGGACACCUGCCGAGCACAGGGUCCAGAGCAUCCAAUUCAUGGAGUUCUCAGAAGUGGAGAACCAGGAUGAUUACUACAGCAUGGAUGCUGGUUACAUCCACACCCAGGACCAGCAAGGAGUGUAUGUCAUGUAUGAUGAAGCCUUGAGUGAUCUGAAGGACCUAGAGACAGAACUGCUGCUUGUGGCCAGCCAUUACAUUGAGAGAGAAAAAGGUCACAAAGAGGGCAGCAAGUCACAUAUUGACCAGGACUGGGGAUGGACCCAUGCAGGUGUGGACAGAUUUGCUGUGCUGUAUGACAUGUGGACUUGGGAAGCAGCUCUUCUAGAAAGCAAGCGCCAGCUUCUUGACAGUUACUUUGAAGCCUACCAGCAUGCAUUGGACCCAGAGGAGAGGUUUGCCUUAGCACAAGUGAUCACAGACAUCAUGCACAGGUGCUCAAGGUUUGACUUCAGUCAUCCUUACUUCAUUAAGGCCUACCGAGAGGAAUGCACCUGCCUGAGGCUUCACCUGCAGCUGGUGAGGGGCAUCCUCAACCAGCACAUAGAGUGUCAGCGUGAGUAUGUCCAGAGGCUUUGGCAAAAAGGCCAUCCAGAUGCUAGCAAUACAUUUGGACUUCCCCUUAACAUCAUUUGCAAACAACUCAUUUCCAUCAACAAUAGCUGCUCAGCUUUGAAAAACAUUUAUCUGCUGGAGUUCCACCCUUCCUUGGGCCUGGCUUCCUGUAUCCCCAGGGCUCUGGAGCACCUCCUCAGGGAGGCCCGCCACACUUGGAGGCCCACAUCAGCCAGUGCCUUCACCUUGCUGGAGAGACGUGUGCUGCAGCUGGCCCUGGAUGUGUGGCUCACCCCAGCCAGGCCCGAGUCCUGGUACAGCGCACAGCUCCAGAAAGAUCUAUUUUCAGCUAAAGUGAUGGGUGAUCCCUUUCUUGUCGGGGAGACAGGCCUGCUUGCACUCAAAUCUGCUGCAGACCAAGGACAGAACCAAGGCCAAGAUUCCCAAAUGCUGCUCCUGGAGAUGUUUUCCAAACUUUUGGAACUCUUGACCCUCCGGCAUAGGCUGAUAGAGAUGAGUCUGGAGAGUGUACACUUGGCACGUCUCUAUAAGGAUUUGGCGUGCGAGAUGGGUUUUGAAGAGUUCCAUUUGUACCUGAGGCCUGUUCACUUUGAAUCUGCAUCACACAAGGACAAGGUGGUCGAUCCACCUCCUGUCUUUAUAACCUCUCUGCUGGAGGACAGUGACUGCGUAGACAGAUAUUCUCCUGCUACUCUUGUCUUAGCUAUCUCUGAAGUGGAUGAUAACCAAAUUGGCAAAUUUAGUUUUUAUACAAAGGAAGCCAUUCUUAAGCUCUUGUGCCAUUCAGGAGUGGAAAAUAUGCAAGUGACCCUAGCAUGCCAGGCUACUCAGAAGAAUGCUUUAAUGGUGGCUGUUCAGCAGGCAUCCUUCUACCACACUCCCUGUGGGAGCUGUCCCGCUGUUGUCAAGGAAAUAAGUUCUGAUCUGAGAAAUCAUAAUGGAGUGGGUCCAACCAGAAGAAGAAAUUCCAGAAUUGUGAAUGGCAUAGAAGGCAUGCUGUUAGCCCCAGUUCCAAAAGUCCCAGAUGCCCUUACUCAUCCUUCAAAAAGAUUCCAGGCUACCAAAAGGGCUCCGGAAGCUUUCGUGUCUAUUCAACUAGAAAAGGUGGGGCUGCGGGACAUGAUGCUGAAUGCCUUCCUCCUCAGGAAACAAGCCAUGGCUGACAGAAUGAAAAACCUUGAUGAAAUUGGGAAAGUCAAGAGAGAUGUUAUAGUUGAAUAUUGCCAGAAGUUCAACCGACAUAUGUCUCACUACGCUCUUCGGGGGCAGAUCAUAGCAUACUGCAACAGCCUGAGAGCCCUACUGGACGAUUUCCCUACCAUCAGAGAUACUUUUUUCAUGGUGGGACAACGACAAGAAAAGAAGGGGUUGAGGGACUCCGAUGAUGGCCUCAAGAAUGACCCCAGGAGUUUUCAGCCCCGGCCACGGCGUUUGCUGUCUGCUGAUGGGAAAGUCUUCCUCAACUUAUGGUUCAUACCCCAUCCUUCUGAAGUGCUGGUUAUGUUCAAAACUCUGCCAGAAAAGGCAGCUUUUAGAGCCUUAAAGCUAACUCUGCAGCUGAUAGCCCCUCUCCAUGACAUUGUGGCCUACCUUUUCAGUUUUGCUAAACUUGGAAAUUGUCCAGCAUGUUUUGAAUUUCCUCUGAGUCCUAACCCUCUGAGAGGUGACUGGGGAGGAACUGAGGGUAUUGGAUCUGAACUUCAAGAGCUGCAGAAAAUGAUUGACAGCCUCCAGAGCCCCCAAGACCCCACUCUGGUAUCUCAGGUCCUUCUCCUCCAAAGGGAGGUUAUGUUUCUUCAGUUUGACGCUGCAGUGAGGUACCUCAUCCGACAAACGUUUUUGGCAGCUGGAAGUGCUUCUGCCUACCAGUCUGUCACAGACGGCAUGUAUCAUGGUUUGCCACCACUGAGCAACUCUCCAAUGAAGAGCAUUUUUGCUUCACAGCUCAGCCUACCACAACCACUGGAUCCACAGAGCCUCCAGUCAUUUGUGCUGUUCCCUUGGAGAGCAUUUCUGGAAGAUGGAGGACCAUUUCCACUUACAAGUAGCAGCCCAGAUACCCUAGAAUAUCACAUGCAGCUAUGCCUCUGUGGACUGAGUGGCCAUGACCUCAAAGUGGCUCAUGGAGAGCUGGCAGGCAUGCGACUGCUAAUGGAAGAUGUUCUUCUGAGUAACUACCAUAUGAUCAUGGAGGGUCUCCCAGGACAGCAAGCCACACCAGACAAAAAUACACAGCCAGAUUUGUCCAGAGUGCCAGGACUCCAAAGCAGCCCAAAGGCCUCCAAGCUGCUGGGGGGCCCGUGUGAUGCCGUGACGUCCCUUGCUCUGCUGAGAUCAUUUCUGGUGCUGUGGAAGCAACUGGAAGUGCUAAAGGAGCACUGGGGCCGACUCAAGCUCCAAGUCCAGGACAUCAACUCUCCCUGUCUCCACAAACAGUUCUCGGAGCUCUAUGGAACUGAUAUUCUCUACCCUAGCAUGAAAGCUAUAGCUAGGCGGAUGGGGAAAGAAGAUGAAUUUGAAGAAAUUUUAAUAACUAGUCAGUGUAUUCUUCCCCCCAAAGGAGCUUCAGAAAUCGAAAUAAAAACUCAACAGCUUCAGAAACUUCUGGAAAAUCUUGAAAUUCAUAUGAUCCAGGAGGUAUUAAAGAAAGUUAACAAAGAGAUAACACUGGUUGUAUCAGAAAAGUCCAAGGAGCAGCAUACUCUCCCUACAGACCUUUGGAAACACCAAGUCAUGGAAGAAAACUUUUCAAUUAUCAGGCCGCAAAUAGUUGAAAAUUUUGUACAGAGAUUAUUGGAGAACUACCAGGAUGGUGGAUUAGAGGUCACGUUCAGGAAAGACCACCUUGAGGCCUGCCUCCUUUCCCUGGGUUGUGAUGUGAUGGCCAGAGAACGCAGCAACUUCGAGAGCUACUCCAUGUGUUACGAGCAUAUAUUAGAGCACGUUAGACAGAAGCUCUGCCAGAAGGAGCAAGAAUUAGACAUUAUACGAAGAGGUCAAAGUCCACCUGAAGACAAGGCUGGUCAGGUUGCAGAACUCAGUCAUAAUAUGAUCAUGGAAAUCACUGCCCUGAGAGCCCGACUCACGGAUUUGGAGGAGGAGAAUCUAAAUCUCAAAAAGCAAAUUAGAAAAGAGGUCCAAGAAGAAUAUGAAGCAUUAGUCCAAGCUUUGUUUGUGACAUGUUUGCACAUCAAAGAGAAGUUGGAUGAGAAUCAGCUUAAUUUGAUCCAGAAAGUGUGUGAGCUCAUCGGCGAAGUAAGAACAGAAGGGAUUGACAACAUGAAAAGCCUAAAGAAGAAGUGGGGCUCUGCCAGGCCUGACGAAGAAAUGAAAGAAAAUCCAGCCAAAGAGCAGCUGCAGGCCUUGGAGCAGGACAACUGCGCCCUGGCCGCCCUGGUGCGCAAGCUGAGGAGCCUGGGCCAUUGGAGGCUGGUGGUGCGGCAGGCACACUUCCGGGGCCAGCUGAGCAGGGCUGAGAAGGAAGCUGUGCAAACUAAAAAAGAGUGUUUGAACAUCAAGCUAAUGGCUGAACAAGAAGUGGUUUUAUUUCGUCAACAGCUAUUGGCUCUAAGGCAGGCCCUGGCUAGGGCUCAGGCGGACAAUGUGAAGAUGUGCAGGCAGCAGGAGAAUCAGGCACAGUUGCUGAAAGAGUUAGAACACAGAAUGACCCAGGAAGCUCUCCGCAGGCAGCAGCUGGAUUUAAUGAAAGCGACCAGCAUGGAGAAGCUCUUAAAGGAUGUGGAGCAAAAGGAACAGCACCUGCAGCUCCUUACUGAAGAUGCCAAGAGGGCUUCUAAACUAGGCCAGCUGCAGCAGAAGAAAAUUCAGAGAGAACUCCGACAGGUGAGAAGCCGGCUUGCCCAUGAGCGUAGUAUGAAGCUGGAUGCUUUCCAGUGGGUAGAAGAGCUACAAAGUCAGCUUAAUGAUGCUGAGCAAUCCUCCACCCAAAGGAACUCACCUGGAGGCCUUAUGUCCCAAGCUCACUACUCCCUAAGUUCUGCUUCCACAUCAUCCAGAUACACCCAGCAACACCUUUUAAAGACUCAACUCAUGGGCAGCAAAAUAACAAGGAUUCAAAGGCCAAAGACUGUACCUAUUAAACACAAAAAAAGAACUGAUGAUGUCUUCCUACCCAAUGUGGCAGAUACUGUUCAACUUUCAGCUUUUCAAGUUUAA
ensembl:lncRNA